rnacentral:lncRNA from 1 species
AGUCAUGUGUGACACUGGGAUUCAGAGGCUAGUUGUGGGCCACAGGGAGGAAGCUGACCCCUGGGCUCACCCAGCCCACCCACUCACCAGCUCUCCUUUCCUUCCUGGGUCCCUUGGGGAGGAGAAGCCAUCCACCUCAUGGAAAGUGCUUUAGAGGCUCCUCUGUGGGUGCCCUACUCUGCACCCUUUGCGGGGACUCUCUGCUUCAGUUCGCAGGACAACCUUAAUAGCUAACUGCAGAGAGGACUGAAUGGUUAAGUAGCUCCUCCAAGGAAGCAGAGCCAAGUAUCAGAGGCCGGUUUCCAUCCAGGGAUUGAGAGAAGAAUCAGGAGCACAUAGGCUGUGGCAGUAAAAAGCAGAUCCCAAAGACAGUAUAGGGCGGCUCGAAAGGGGCCUUCCUACAUAGCCACCACCACGUGCUCCGGCGCUACCUCCAGGGGGCUGGGCGCAGCUGGAGGACACAGUUCGGCAGCUUGCUAGAAGCCUCCAGCUCUUCCUUUUCUGUAUCCUUCAGGUGACUGUGGAAGGCUGGCCGUGCAGCCUGCCAUCAGCCUGGCCUCAGCCGGGGAGGGGGACCUUUCUCCUGGAGGCCACAGAAACACUGAGGACCUCUCAGCUGAGAAGGUCAGAUGGAGGUGCUGGAUGAUUGGAGGAGAUCAAACUGAUGAGGAAAACGCAAAUGGCAUCCUUCAGGAGCAAAAGCUGUCUCCUCUUUUACUUCACAUGUCCACCCAGCAGCUCUAUGAGUUCUGAUUCAGCAUUGCACUUACCACCCACCCUCCCCGCCUUUUACAGAAAAGGAAACUGAGGCUCCGAGGUUGCGGAGUUGCUUGCUCCAGCUGAUGACAAAGGCAGGUAAAGCCAGGGCUAGAGUCCCUUCCCAGCCCUCCAAAUGCCGUUAGCGCCAUGAUCCUACAGCCUCCUCAAAGUCCAGUCAGGCAAACUCUUGCCCUUGUUUCCAUUAAACACAUAUCUUCAUCUUUUUCGUACUUUUAAUAAUAGCAGGAAGUAAAUCUGGCCAUGUAAUGUGAGAAAGGUAAUAGUCCCAGGUCAGGAAAUCCUGUUGCUUGGAGUCUCUUGGGAAUGUUAACUUUCCCACUCUCACCCUACCGGGAUCCUGACCUCCUGCACAGUUGGCUUCCUCAGGCAAAACUGGGCCAGAAAUUCUGGGCCGUUGGCCAGAGUCAGACCUUCGUCCUCUGGUAGCGUCCGCUGGAAAAGAGGAGGCGAGAGUCACCAGGAGGCUGGCCCCACUCGCAGGCCCUGCCCUCUGCCGGUGGGUCCUAUGGAUGACACGAGGCCGCACUGGGCUGGAGAAGAAGAGAAGCUCCUGAGACACGCCCACUCUGCAGAGGGAGGCAACCGCACAGGUAGGGAGAAAACUGAGGAACUGAGAAGUAACUUACUACUGGAAGUAGGAUGGGAAACCAGGCAUCUACCUUCAGAGCUUUGUGCAUUCAUCAUUACAUAUGUUCCCUGGGGACAGAGCAGUCCUGGUAUAAUUGCUGGGGAGCCCUGGCCUGCCACUGAGACUCCCCCACCUCCCCUCUGGCUUCUCUGUCUGCCCCUGCAGGGCCUGGACCAAGUGCUCCCAGGGGCCUUCUGGCCCUGACCCACUGAGGAUGCAUCCUGCUGUGGCCUCCUUGCAGUAGCCCCAAGACUGGCCACCCUGGCUCCUGCAGGCCAAGCCCCUGGGGCUCCUGGCUCCUCCUGCUGUGUCAGGCC